UCUCAGAGUCUCUCAGUGAGUCACCGGACCUUCUGGAGAUUCCUCUCUCCGUCCCUCUGCCUCUCUUUGUCUCGCUCUGCUUAUCUCCGCCGCGAAAGAAGGAAUUCGAAUGGCUUUUGCGAUCGGUCUCCCUCAUAACCUGCUUCUGCCCAGUGCCUCCCGUGGCAAAUUGCAGGUGAAAUCGUGCUCUCAGAUUCAGAUUCAGACCAAGAAACGGUGCUUGCGAUGCAAUACGCUUUACUCUGAUCAAGAAAAUUCCCCAACUGCUUGUUCUUUCCAUGGCCACGCCAACGUAGGUUCAACUGGACUAGGGGCCUAAAACUGCCGCUGACCACUUGAAUUGGGCUUGAGGUUGGGCCAAGGCCCAGGAAAGACAGCCCAUGGAGAAAGCUAACGGCGUGGGUGGGUGGUUGGACUUGCAGGGGAGAAGGGGUUGUUCUCGUUGGCGCCACCACACCAAGGGAUAGAUGGGGAGUGGACGGACGAAUCAGGAGUGAUUGUGUACAAAUGGAAUGACAAAGGCAACAGACCCAACACAGGUCGCCCCAACUGGAAGAGACGGUGGAGCUGUUGUGCCGAGUAUGAUGAGAAUACCCCUCCUUGCCGACGAGCCUCCCAUGUCUCCUAUGAUGAUGGUUUCACUUUGUACUAACCAUAUUCCCCCCCCCCCCCCCAAAAAAAAAAAGUUCCCCUUGUAUAUAAUGCUUUCGAUGUAUAUUUAGAGGAAAACAUCACUUCAAAGAGCAUAUUUAUCUUUAAGUAUUCUACCUCUCAUCCUUCAUAUA